rnacentral:rRNA from 2 species
UUAAGCGACUAAGCGUACACGGUGGAUGCCCUGGCAGUCAGAGGCGAUGAAGGACGUGCUAAUCUGCGAAAAGCGUCGGUAAGGUGAUAUGAACCGUUACAGCCGGCGAUGUCCGAAUGGGGAAACCCAGUGCAAUUCGUUGCACUAUCGUUAACUGAAUACAUAGGUUAACGAGGCGAACCGGGGGAACUGAAACAUCUAAGUACCCCGAGGAAAAGAAAUCAACCGAGAUUCCCCAGUAGCGGCGAGCGAACGGGGAGCAGCCCGGAGUCUGAAUCAGCUUGUGUGUUAGUGGAAGCGUCUGGAAAGUCGCAGGGUACAGGGUGAUACUCCCGUACACUAAAACACACAGGUUGUGAACUCGAAGAGUAGGGCGGGACACGUGGUAUCCUGUCUGAAUAUGGGGGGACCAUCCUCCAAGGCUAAAUACUCCUGACUGACCGAUAGUGAACCAGUACCGUGAGGGAAAGGCGAAAAGAACCCCGGCGAGGGGAGUGAAAAAGAACCUGAAACCGUGUACGUACAAGCAGUAGGAGCCCACUAGUUGGGUGACUGCGUACCUUUUGUAUAAUGGGUCAGCGACUUAUAUUCUGUAGCAAGGUUAACCGUAUAGGGGAGCCGCAGGGAAACCGAGUCUUAACUGGGCGUUAAGUUGCAGGGUAUAGACCCGAAACCCGGUGAUCUAGCCAUGGGCAGGUUGAAGGUUGGGUAACACUAACUGGAGGACCGAACCGACUAAUGUUGAAAAAUUAGCGGAUGACUUGUGGCUGGGGGUGAAAGGCCAAUCAAACCGGGAGAUAGCUGGUUCUCCCCGAAAGCUAUUUAGGUAGCGCCUCGUGAACUCAUCUUCGGGGGUAGAGCACUGUUUCGGCUAGGGGGUCAUCCCGACUUACCAACCCGAUGCAAACUACGAAUACCGAAGAAUGUUAUCACGGGAGACACACGGCGGGUGCUAACGUCCGUCGUGAAGAGGGAAACAACCCAGACCGCCAGCUAAGGUCCCAAAGUCAUGGUUAAGUGGGAAACGAUGUGGGAAGGCCCAGACAGCCAGGAUGUUGGCUUAGAAGCAGCCAUCAUUUAAAGAAAGCGUAAUAGCUCACUGGUCGAGUCGGCCUGCGCGGAAGAUGUAACGGGGCUAAACCAUGCACCGAAGCUGCGGCAGCGACACUAUGUGUUGUUGGGUAGGGGAGCGUUCUGUAAGCCGUUGAAGGUGGCCUGUGAGGGUUGCUGGAGGUAUCAGAAGUGCGAAUGCUGACAUAAGUAACGAUAAUGCGGGUGAAAAACCCGCACGCCGGAAGACCAAGGGUUCCUGUCCAACGUUAAUCGGGGCAGGGUGAGUCGACCCCUAAGGCGAGGCCGAAAGGCGUAGUCGAUGGGAAACAGGUUAAUAUUCCUGUACUCGGUGUUACUGCGAAGGGGGGACGGAGAAGGCUAUGUUGGCCGGGCGACGGUUGUCCCGGUUUAAGCAUGUAGGCGGAUGUUCCAGGUAAAUCCGGAACGUCACUAACGCUGAGGUGUGAUGACGAGGCACUACGGUGCUGAAGUGACAAAUGCCCUGCUUCCAGGAAAAGCCUCUAAGCAUCAGGUAACAUCAAAUCGUACCCCAAACCGACACAGGUGGUCAGGUAGAGAAUACCAAGGCGCUUGAGAGAACUCGGGUGAAGGAACUAGGCAAAAUGGUGCCGUAACUUCGGGAGAAGGCACGCUGAUGGUAGGUGAAGUGACUUGCUCAUGGAGCUGAAAUCAGUCGAAGAUACCAGCUGGCUGCAACUGUUUAUUAAAAACACAGCACUGUGCAAACACGAAAGUGGACGUAUACGGUGUGACGCCUGCCCGGUGCCGGAAGGUUAAUUGAUGGGGUUAUCCUCGCGGAGAAGCUCUUGAUCGAAGCCCCGGUAAACGGCGGCCGUAACUAUAACGGUCCUAAGGUAGCGAAAUUCCUUGUCGGGUAAGUUCCGACCUGCACGAAUGGCGUAAUGAUGGCCAGGCUGUCUCCACCCGAGACUCAGUGAAAUUGAACUCGCUGUGAAGAUGCAGUGUACCCGCGGCAAGACGGAAAGACCCCGUGAACCUUUACUAUAGCUUGACACUGAACACUGGUCCUUGAUGUGUAGGAUAGGUGGGAGGCUUUGAAGUGUGGACGCCAGUCUGCAUGGAGCCAUCCUUGAAAUACCACCCUUUAAUGGCUGGUGUUCUAACGUGGGCCCCUGAUCGGGGUUGCGGGACAGUGUCUGGUGGGUAGUUUGACUGGGGCGGUCUCCUCCUAAAGAGUAACGGAGGAGCACGAAGGUCAGCUAAUCCUGGUCGGACAUCAGGAGGUUAGUGCAAUGGCAUAAGCUGGCUUGACUGCGAGCGUGACGGCGCGAGCAGGUGCGAAAGCAGGUCAUAGUGAUCCGGUGGUUCUGAAUGGAAGGGCCAUCGCUCAACGGAUAAAAGGUACUCCGGGGAUAACAGGCUGAUACCGCCCAAGAGUUCAUAUCGACGGCGGUGUUUGGCACCUCGAUGUCGGCUCAUCACAUCCUGGGGCUGAAGUAGGUCCCAAGGGUAUGGCUGUUCGCCAUUUAAAGUGGUACGCGAGCUGGGUUUAGAACGUCGUGAGACAGUUCGGUCCCUAUCUGCCGUGGGCGCUGGAGAAUUGAGGGGGGCUGCUCCUAGUACGAGAGGACCGGAGUGGACGCAUCACUGGUGUUCGGGUUGUCAUGCCAAUGGCAUUGCCCGGUAGCUAAAUGCGGAAGAGAUAAGUGCUGAAAAGCAUCUAAGCACGAAACUUGCCCCGAGAUGAGUUCUCCCUGACCCUUUAAGGGUCCUGAAGGAACGUUGAAGACGACGACGUUGAUAGGCCGGGUGUGUAAGCGCAGCGAUGCGUUGAGCUAACCGGUACUAAUGAACCGUGAGGCUUAACCUU